GCGGAUGGCCGGAUGGCCGCGGGGGUCCGCCCCCGAGGAAAGUCCGGACUCCACGAGGCAACGGUGCCGGGUAACGCCCGGCGGGGGCAACCCCAGGGAAAGCGCCACAGAGAACAGACCGCCUUCGGGUCCGCCCGGGGGUAAGGGUGAAACGGUGGGGUAAGAGCCCACCGCGGGACUGGCAACAGGACCGGCACGGCAAGCCCCACCGGGAGCAAUGCCGAAUAGGGACCCCGCGCGGCGCGUCCGCAGGGCGGCUUCGGCCCAGGGGUCCGGGUUGGCAGCUAAAGCGCACCGGCAACGGUGCGCGUAGAGGAAUGGUCAUCCAGGGGCCGCGAGGCCCCGGACAGAAUCCGGCUUACAGGCCGUCCGCGCAU
rnacentral:RNase_P_RNA from 1 species